rnacentral:misc_RNA from 1 species
GGAAGUAAAGUCGUAACAAGGUUUCCGUAGGUGAACCUGCGGAAGGAUCAUUGCUAAAAUACAAUUUUAUCCAUAAACCCCAAAACCUUUCUGUGUGAACUAUUUUUUAUAAAAACACCAUAUCCAAUUUUUAGUCUAAAUCAUAUUUUUUAAUGAAAAAAAAACAACUUUUAACAACGGAUCUCUUGGCUCUC